CCCGUUUCGCCCAAUCCCACAUUUUAGCGGUCUGGCCUUCGAGAUUUCUUUCAUUUCGCCUUCGCCAUUCAAACAAAGGGGAAGGCAGCUGCGGAUCCCGACUUCUUUCGUGAUCCUGAUCGUUUUCGUCGUCCGAGGGAAGGAUCUUGGAAGACGGAGCCCGGGAGCCUAGUUCUUGGAUCGAUUAGGAGGUCGAGAGAGGCUCGUCUGAUCGGCUCGGAACCGUAGCUCCGAGGACAUGGCCAAGGCGGCGAUGGCGGUGCCCCUCGUGCGGCACCGGACGCGGAGCUCGGGCUGCCGCGGUGAUCAACGAACUCAAGGAGCGACGCGCCGCGCCAGCCCAACGCGAAGCCGCGGCAGGUGGCGGACGUGACGACGGAGGAGAUGCACGCGGGGCUCGCUUCCCAGGGCGGGAGCAAGCUUAAGAUUCUGAUCAGCUACGUCGACAACCUCCCCCCUGGGCAGGUUGGGGAAGAUGUGGUCUCUGAAUUGAUGAGGGCCAUUGAAGGACAAGGUCUCAAUAUGCAAGUAUCAGCACUGGUUAAUUAUACAAUCGGGACAUUAGCUGGGGCGAGAUGUUAUGAUAAUGAUGUAGUUGCUGCUGUGAUACUAGGCGCUGGUACAAAUGCAGCCUAUGUAGAGCAUGCCCAUGCAAUACCUAAGUGGCACAGUCUUCUUCCCAAAUCAGGAGAGAUGGUGAACAAACUUUCUUUUGCCUGACAUGUUAUCAACGUGGAAUGAGAAACUUCAGGUCAUCUCAUCUUUUCUUUAACUGACUAUGAUCAAGCAUUAGUUUUUUGAGGGUUUGAACCCUGGUGACAAGUAAUAUUUUUGGGAAGUUGAUAUCUGGAAUGUAUCUGAAAGGAAUUUUAGGAGAGUCCUGAGAUUGGUUAACGAAGCUUGCCUUGUUUGGAGACUGUGUUCCAUCGAAACUCAAAACUCCGUUUAUACUAAGGACUCCAAGUCAUGUCAGCGGUGCACCACCAUACUUCACCUGAUCUUAUUGUUGUUGGGACUAAACCGAAGGAAGUCUUGAAGGCACAAUCUUCUUG